GGUUCAGUUGGUAGAGCAUGGCGCUUGCAAUGCCAGGGUUGUGGGUUCGAUUCACAC
rnacentral:tRNA from 1 species